GUCCAUCCAGUAGCAAUACUGGUGAAGACCUAGCGGCGAACGGGUGAGUAACACGUGAGCAACCUGCCCCGAAGUCUGGGAUAACACCGGGAAACCGGUGCUAAUACCGGAUCCCCCCAUCUGACCGCAUGAUCGGAUGAGGAAAGAAUUUCGCUUCGGGAGGGGCUCGCGGCCUAUCAGCUUGUUGGCGGGGUAACGGCCCACCAAGGCGUCGACGGGUAGCUGGUCUGAGAGGACGACCAGCCACACUGGGACUGAGACACGGCCCAGACUCCUACGGGAGGCAGCAGUGGGGAAUCUUGCGCAAUGGGCGAAAGCCUGACGCAGCAACGCCGCGUGGGGGAUGAAGGUCUUCGGGUUGUAAACCCCUUUCAGCGGGAACGAAAAUGACGGUACCCGCAGAAGAAGCCCCGGCCAACUACGUGCCAGCAGCCGCGGUAAUACGUAGGGGGCAAGCGUUGUCCGGAAUUAUUGGGCGUAAAGAGCUCGUAGGCGGCUUGGCAAGUCGGGUGUGAAAACUUCAGGCUCAACCUGGAGGUGCCAUCCGAGACUGCUAUGGCUAGAGUCCGGUAGGGGAUCACGGAAUUCCUGAUGUAGCGGUGAAAUGCGCAGAUAUCAGGAGGAACACCGGUGGCGAAGGCGGUGAUCUGGGCCGGCACUGACGCUGAGGAGCGAAAGCGUGGGUAGCAAACAGGAUUAGAUACCCUGGUAGUCCACGCCGUAAACGUUGGGUACUAGUGUGGGGGCCUAUCACGGGUUCCGU
rnacentral:rRNA from 1 species